rnacentral:rRNA from 1 species
UACGUAGGGUGCGAGCGUUGUCCGGAAUUACUGGGCGUAAAGAGCUCGUAGGCGGUUUGUCACGUCGUCUGUGAAAUCCUAGGGCUUAACCCUGGACGUGCAGGCGAUACGGGCUGACUUGAGUACUACAGGGGAGACUGGAAUUUCUGGUGUAGCGGUGGAAUGCACAGAUAUCAGGAAGAACACCGAUGGCGAAGGCAGGUCUCUGGGUAGUAACUGACGCUGAGGAGCGAAAGCAUGGAUAGCGAACAGG